GGUGGUGGUGCUUAAAUAAGAGAAGGGGUGUCUAAGCUAUUUUUCCUUUUAUAAACAGAUUGGGCCUAAGCCCAAGUGGAAAAGAAGGUGUGAAAACGAAACAAGGGGGCUGCAAACCAAAUUAAAUUCUGAUAACAGAUUGGGCCAAAGUCCAAGUGGAAAAGGGGAUCGACUUAGAAGAAAUGGGGGUGCAGAAAAGGUUUGUCUCUUUUUUUUUUGUUGCUUUCUUUUACUUGGCCCAAGUAGAGAAUGAAAAUGAAAGGGGGGCUGUGAAUACGCGAAAUGGGGGUGGCAGAGGAGAAAAUGAUCCAAACCUAGGCCCAAGGCCUUCUUUCCAGUUGAAACACUAGGGGUUCUGCCCUUUCCUCCCAUUCUCACUUAUUCAAAAAAGGAAAGAGACCUAGGGUCUCUCCUCUCCCUCUGCUGACGACACCAUCAGCCACGAGGCGCCCUCGUCGGCUACUCCCCACCUCGCCGGAGUCGUUGCCACUCACGAAUCGCCGGCAGUUUCUCCCUGAAGUCACCGCCAGCGACAACGCCGUCACUUCCCUACACCAUCCAAGAGCGCCGUCGCAGAACACCAUCCUCGUCCUCGUUCAUUCUGAGACCUAGGGUCUCCUUCUCUGCGCAAGAGCACCCCGAGAAGCCACCUUCGUCACUCAACGUCCACGACUCAGCCUCCGCCUUCUCUCUCCCUCCGUCGGCGAAACCCAAAGCCACCACCGUUCAACGUCGUCGUUGUCCUCGCCGGCGCCGCCAGCACCGCUCCCCUUCUUCCUCAGUUCGAGAGUUUCCUUUCUCUUCCUCUCUUGUUUUUUGAACGCCACAUGUUGAUUGAUUCUUGAUUCCUCGGUUGAUUGGUGUUUCGUUCACUGGGAUUGGAAAUGGCGGGAUUGGAAACGGUGAGGGUGUGUUAUGUGUGUAUGAGCGUGAGUGUGGGCAUGGCCACUUUUGAGUUAAUAUGUUGCAGUGUAACAGUGUUGAGAAAGGGCUAAUCUGAUAGGUAUUUGGUUUGUUUUGGUCUGUUCAUAUUGUUUGAUGCAGGUGGAAAACGACCUCGAGGUUAAGGCCAAACUGUUAUCCAGAUUGAGGGAAACCUUCGCUUCUGUUUUUUGCUUAUUACAAUUUUCUAGCAUGUUUUCUAACUGUACGCAAAUGGAUAUUAAAAUCUGAUACUGGGGAAUAUACACCUAUUUCCUGUUGUCGUUUAUAACUGAUGAAUCUUGUUUGCAUGGAAAUUGUAUUUUGGGUGCAGUUUUUGAUUGACAGAGGAUAUCGCAAAGUAAACGAACAACCAUAUACCAUAUACACGCAUAUUUCAUUCAUGUUCCAGACAUGUAACAGAGAUAUAUAACAGGGGCAUGUGACAAAGCAGCAAACAUUCACAUACAACCAAGGGCCGGGAAAGACAACUUACCUUCACCGCUUUCAAAGAAAAAUGGGAAAGGUAAAUGGUUCUCCUCUGGCCGUGAGACCCUUUAGUGAUGAUCGGUGAUGGUGGCGCGCGAUCUUCUCCUCUCUUUUUCAGGUGUUGGCUUCUCGUUUUCUUCCUCUGCUCAUGAAAUGGUGGAUGCCAUCACAAAGACUGAGACUGAAUGAUGAUUGAAGAUGAAGGUCCAAAGAGGUUGCCUUUCUUCUUUGUAUGCAAAAUGAGGGUUCUCCUUCUCAUGAUAUUAGCCCCUGUUGUCUUCUUGUGUUCUCUCUUCAGUGAAUGGAGUUGAGAGUGAGCAAUGAAAGUGGAUGACUCGUUAAUGGUAGAGGUGAAUGAUGUUCAAGGUCUCCCCUAGAGCGUGGUCCUCAGACCUCUCCUCUCUGCCCCUCCUGUUGUAUCUUUCUUAGAAAACCAAUUUUCAAGAAGGCUCCCCUUCUCUGCUCUGGGAUUUCAUGCUUGUCUUUUUCCUUUUCUUGUUUAUUCAUUGCAUCAGUUGACAAAUGAAACAUUCAAAAUCUUCCUUCUUUGAUGAAUGUAUGCAGUUCACAGUUCAACCUAAGAAAAAUUUGGAAUAGGAACCAGGUCCUUUCUCGCUGCCAUUGCAUACAUACAUUCUAAGCAUUAUCCUGUGUCUUGUGCUGCCGGGAAGUAACUUUGCAGGAAGCUUAGUUGACUUUGAUUUUGUUUUUUUUUCUUUUUGGCAAAGAGUGUCAGGGGAUAUACGCUUACUACUUAUGAAGACACUCUUAAGUUAAAAUAAAGGAAACAAAUUACAAGAGAACAAUAAAAAUAGCAAAAUAUAAAGGUAAAAUAAAUCGGAAAAGAGAGAAAAUACAAUAACAAAAUAGAGUAAGAUAAAACAAAAUAGAAUAAAAUGAAAUCAAAAUAAGAUGAAAUAAAAAUAAAGUAAAAUAAAAUAGAAUAAAAUAAAACAAAAUAAGAUAAGAUAAAAUAAAAUAAAAUAUAAACAGGAGACAAUAAAUAAAAAUGAAACAAAGUAAAAAUAGAGGACAAAAAUAAUAGAAAAAGGAAAAGAAAACCAAACAUAAUCUUUUUUUAAAAAAAAAAGAAAAAAUAAUAAUAAUAAUAAUAAUAAUAAAUAAAUUUAUAUGAAAAUUAUCUUUGCCAUGCCAAUUUUAUUUUAUCACUUCUUCUUAACUCUAGAUAUUUUGUCCAAUUACCCGGACGAAAUUGGGUAUUGACACCUAUGAAUUACAAAUUGAGCUAAGAACGUUGAAUUCAAGCAAGCAUUAAGCAUAAAAACAAAAAAACUACCAUUCAAAGGAAGAAGCAUAUAUGUGUGUGUGUGUGUGUGUAAUCAAAGAAUUUACAAGGUACACAAAAGUUUAGAGGCUACAACUAUCCCCAAUAAGAUGGGUUUGACUCUCCAUUUCCAUGGAGAGCCUCGAGCUUACAAAAUGGAAGAUGGAAGAAGAAGAAAACACAAAAAGGAAGAAAAGGUUGUUCCUACAAGCCCCAAGCAGCCUCCAUGAGCUCUUGUAGUGGAUUCGUGCCUUUAAACCACCACAAAACCCUUCUCCCUUCAAGAAAUCUGAAUAAAUAAGCACAACUUGCCAUAUUAGCACAUGCACUACUCAGCGUAAGGGGCCUACCACUUAGCGAUGGACUCAGGAAUGCCAA
rnacentral:lncRNA from 1 species